AAGUUUGUGCAAUAACAAUUCUGCAGGCCAUAAUGUCUUAUACUAACACAGGUUAUACAUUUCAUUUCCCACACUGGUUAUGAACAUAAUAAUAAUAAUGAUGCACACACAUAAUAUAUCUCCAGACUUGCUAGGAGGUGUGAGGACUCUCAGAAAAUCUUUUUCAGGAGGUCUACCAUGAAGAGGCUUGCCAGGAGUCAUGGGGGACCCUUGGAGAACCCUUUCAGGAGGUCGACUGUGGACAGUCUUGCAAGGAAGCAUGUAGGAUGCUUGGAGAACCUAUUCAGGUGGUGGACUGAGAGGUUGGACAGGAGACUCAAAUCUACGGAGGAGCUCUGGAGACUUGAACCCACGGCGGAGCCUUGGAGAACGGCCGUGGAACCCAUGUUGGAGGCCUGAAGAUUUAUCAAAUUGAGUAAUUACUUUUUCACAAAGGGCCAGGUUGAUUUGGAUAGCUUUUUUUUCCAUAAUGAACCAAAUUGCAGCACCGUUUCUGGUUGUUGUAUUUACUCUGGUUAUGUGUAUUUAGUAUAAAAAAUAAUUUGAUAAUCUGAAAUUUUUAAGUGAUGAAAAAGCAAAAACAGACAAAUUCUUAAAAUUCUUAAAAUUUUCAAAGCACUGUAAAUACGAUGAAAGGUGCAGUAAUAAACGGUUUAUUUGCAUUUUUUAAAGUUUGUAUCUUAUAAAUAGAAGAAAAUGUAAACAUCAAAAAGCUAAGAAAUAUAUCCUUAUAUGUUGCUAAUAGUUUGCCUGGCCACUGAGCAAAGCAAUUAGAAAAUCUUACCCGACUUUCCAACUUGCAAAUGGUUGGGUGUGCCAUCAUUGCAAGAUUGGCAAAUAGAAUGGGUGAUUACGGAAAGACCAAAUUUGUAACCUACCAGAGCAAUACAUUAGGAACGAAGAAGAGUGAGAAGAGUGAGAGUCGGAAUGUAGACAGAAAGAACAGUAAACCAAGAGCUUUGCAUUUUGAUUUCUCUUUCCACAUUUUGUAAGUGCCUUGAGAUGAAAUUUGUGAAUUGAUGCUACAUAAAUAAUCAAAAUUUCUUAUCCAUAAGAGAAUGGAGCAAUGGCAAAGAUUCUGUGGUGGAGGCCCCAAUCAGUGUAUCCAUCCCCCAUUCCAAGAUACACAAAGAUGCUUCAUGUCCUCUGGCUGAGGCAAAGAAUGACCCCAUACCCUGAAGGAGAAAUCCAGCUUUUCCACUUGAGAAUCACAGCAUUAGACCUAGAGGAGCAGACUCUCGUCAUGCAUAUGAUGUGGUUCUGUUGGCAUCAAAAGACAAUGUUAAGCCUGCUCUAGAGUCAUUUGCAGCUCCUGAGGCCAAUGAGCAAGAUCUCAGAAAAGGAGGUUUGACGAUUACCCUGACAUUGGCUGCUAUCUUAAUUUUUUGCUUAUUUGCUUGAUGUCCGAGGAGAGGCUCAAAGAUUGUUGUACCAAGAAGGCAAGGUUAUUUUCAACAUCCAUCUUUUAUUCUGGGGCCUCAUAUCUCGGGGGUGUGGAAACAUGACUGACAGCUCAACACAGCGGCUGAACAACAUAUUCCCUGCUGCUGCAUUCAGGGACCGUGGGACCUGGAAUUAUCAUAUAAUGACAAUAAAGAAUCCUGAAUAUUGUGGUGAAUAAAUCUAUAUUUUUUGGAUGAAUAUCUUCUCUGGUCUCAGAUGCUGUGCAGCUGGAUGGAUUUUUGCUCAUUCUAUUUUACUUUUGGACAUUUGUUAUGAUGCAUCACCAUAGCAAUGGGUUUGUUUAUUUACUAGGACCAGCUGAUUAAUAUCUUAAAAGCUUAAAUAAUACUUCAACUGCAACCCCAAAUCCCUGAUGAGUUGAAAAGGAGACACCGUGGAUGCAGAGCAGUAGAAAAGAGAAGAGAGAGAAGGAGGAAGUUCAAACCAUCUCUUCCACAGAUUCGGAUGGGCAAUGUGAGAUCAUUGGGAAACAAGCUGGAUGAACUCCAAGCCCUACAAAGGACACAGCCAGAGUAUUGGUAAUGCAGUAUUGC